AUUGAACGCUGGCGGUAUGCCUUACACAUGCAAGUCAAACGGUAGAGGGGCAACCCUUGAGAGUGGCGAACGGGUGAGUAAUACAUCGGAACGUGCCCAGUCGUGGGGGAUAACGUAGCGAAAGCUACGCUAAUACCGCAUACGACCUGAGGGUGAAAGCGGGGGAUCUUCGGACCUCGCGCGAUUGGAGCGGCCGAUGGCAGAUUAGGUAGUUGCUGGGGUAAAGGCCUACCAAGCCUGCGAUCUGUAGCUGGUCUGAGAGGACGACCAGCCACACUGGGACUGGGACACGGCCCAGACUCCUACGGGAGGCAGCAGUGGGGAAUUUUGGACAAUGGGCGAAAGCCUGAUCCAGCCAUACCGCGUGCGGGAAGAAGGCCUUCGGGUUGUAAACCGCUUUUGUCAGGGAAGAAAUCUUCUGGGUUAAUACCUCGGGAGGAUGACGGUACCUGAAGAAUAAGCACCGGCUAACUACGUGCCAGCCGCCGCUGUAAUAC
rnacentral:rRNA from 1 species